rnacentral:rRNA from 1 species
GUCCACGCCGUAACGAUGGUGCUAGGUGUGGCGGUGUCGACUCCGUCCGUGCCGAAGCUAACGCAUUAAGCACCCGCCUGGGAGUACGGCCGCAAGGCUAAACUCAAGGAUUGACGGGCCCGCACAAGCAGCGGAGCAUGUUGUUUAAUUCGACGCGACGCGAAGAACCUUACCAAGGCUUGACAUGCACGGGAAUGUCGUAGAAAUACGGCAGCCCUUCGGGGCUCGUGCACAGGUGGUGCAUGGCUGUCGUU